UGUGGCGGCGAUGGCCAGAAGGAUACACCUGUUCCCAUGCCGAACACAGAAGUUAAGCUUCUGAGCGCCGAGAGUAGUUGGGGGAUCGCUCCCUGC
rnacentral:rRNA from 1 species